GGAAGUAAAGUCGUAACAAGUUCCGUAGGUGAACCUGCGGAAGGAUCAUUAAUAAAUGGCUCUGAUAUAAGGCACUUAAUAAUCCUACCCUUUGUGAAUUGUUGUUUGAAAUAUUUUUUUAAAAUUAUUGAUUGUCUUUCCCUGUUGAAUUGGUUGUCCUUUGGACGGUUGAUUCGCAGGGAUAGUCGGUAAUUUUUAAAAGACCUUUUUAAAAUUAAACUUUUGUGUACAUUGUCUAAAUUAUUUUUAAUAUAAAACAACUUUUGACAAUGGAUCUCUGUUCUCGCACGAUGAAACGCAGCAAAUGCGAUAAGUAGUGUGAAUUGCAGAAUACGUGAAUCAUCGAUCUUCGAACGCAUAUUGCACUUUUUUAGUUUACUAAAAAGUAUGUCUGUUUGAGUAGCAGUAAAAUUCUCAUAAACUUUUUUGUUUUUAUGGUUAUGAGUGUUUACAACGAUACAAGUUGUUUCACUUUAAAUUUUAAAAUUGAAUUUUUUCUAAUUUAAAUAAAAUGGAUAAAUUUUCCGUAAAAAGGAAUAACCUAAACAUUUACUUAUUUAGAAGAAUUCACCAAAGGAAAUUUAACAAAUAACUUGAUCUCAAUCAGAUAAGAGUACCGCUGAACUAAGCAUAUCAAUAAGCGGAGGAAAAGAACUAACAAGAUUCCCUUAGUAACGGCGAGUGAAGCGGGAAGAGCUCAAAUUUGAAAUCUCAAGGUUUUACCUUGACGAAUGUAGUUUAAAGAAGUGUUUCUGUCGAAGUUUGGUAAAAGUCUUGGAAUAGGACAUCAUAGAGGGUGAGAAUCCCGUAUGACCAUUAUUUUCAGCUGUGUGAUACACUUCAAGAGUCGGAUUGUUGGGAAUGCAGUCCAAAUGGUGGUAAUUCAUCUAAAGCUAAUAUUGGCGAGAGACCGAUAGCGACAAGUACCGUGAGGGAAAGAUGAAAAGAACUUGAAAAGAGUUAAACAGUACGUGAAAUUGUCAAAGGGAAGCGUUUGACACCAGUGUUGUUUUCUCGAAAAUCAAUUAAAAUGGCUGGAUUCUGUGUUGUAUUGACCUUAACAGCUUCUUCACUUUUUCCUGUCUUUUUAACGCACUUUCGUUAACAAGUCAACAUCAGUUUCUUUUGUUGUAAAAGGGUCAUUGGAAGGUGGCUUUCUUUCGGAGAAAGUGUUUAAGCUUUGAUCUCUGCAUCGGAGAGACUGAGGUCUGCAGCGUAGACUCUUCGGGUUAGAUACAUUUGUGCUAGUUAUAGCUUUCAUAGACAACUUGUUGACUAUGUUUAGUCUUGUAGCUUACUCGCUUAUGCUAUUUUACCUACGCUUAGGAUUUGA
rnacentral:misc_RNA from 1 species